AGGAGGUCAGAGAGAUAUGGAGGGGGUGAGGUUGUGUAUGGAUUUGAAGUCUGCAGAUGAGAGUGUGCCUGGUGUGUUUGGACAUGUACAACAAGAGGACAGAUGAUUAUCACAGCGGUCAGGGACACCGAGGGUCACGAUCACCGGUGUGAACAGAGUGAGUUUCCUCUCCAGCAGAUGUUUAUCUGGUCCUAGGAUUUAGUUGGUCGCAACGACAACAAUAGACUCAGCCUCCUCGUCUUUCUCAUCCAGCAAUUGGACGACGCAGGGCGUGACUUCAAACGGUAUCCUCUCUUUAACCGUUGUCUGUGCUGGCAGCCCAGGACUUGAGCCUCUUGUAGAGAAGGCGUACUCCCUCAAAGGGGAUGGGGUCAAGGAGGAUGGCUGUGGCUCCAAGAAGACCUCCAAGCAGCCAGAGAGCCAGUGGUCUGUAUCUGAUUUACGGCCCACAUAUCCAGCCCGCUUGUGUCCCCCCUGCUCCGCUGCUACCACCUGGAACAACCACAAAACACUCAUGAGACAUCGUCCAGUGUUAAGAUGGCAUAACAGAGGACAUCCUCAAUCCUUACCAGUGGCCAUGAUGUAGGAGCCCCCACCAGGUGAGGCCACGCCCGAGGGCUGGCUGGUGAUCGGGUCCCAGGCGUCUGAGGACGACAGGCAGUACAGGCCUUGUGAGACAUAGGUGUGAGGCCAGACAUCUGCAGAGGAGUGGUGGAGCACCUGGUCUGUUCAAUCACAAGCUUGCAGUCGCUUCACCACACCUGCAGCUGCUGCCUCUUUCUCCUAAGAUGGCACUGAUUGGUCCAGUCCUACUGUGACUGGACCCGCCUGACGACACACAUGGAGUCUGGCCGAUCCAUCUGCUUUGCAAGCUGCUCCAUCCCUCUCCGUCCAUCUACACCUCUCACAAUGUUUACGUAACCAAUGGAUACCAUUCAGCCGUUUCCAGGAGCAACAGCAAGUCUGAUCCUCGGCAAAAAGCUGGACACCAUUAAUUAUGUGCCCUCAUAUGCAAGCACAUAUACACACACAGACACACACACACACACACACACACACACAGAGACAGAGAGAGAGAGAGAGAGAGACAGUCAUGUAUAUUCAUCCUACUCUGAAAUGCACACAGAUUAAAGGAGAAGAGUUUGGAAA